UACGUAGGUGGCAAGCGUUAUCCGGAUUUAUUGGGCGUAAAGGGAACGCAGGCGGUCUUUUAAGUCUGAUGUGAAAGCCUUCGGCUUAACCGGAGUAGUGCAUUGGAAACUGGGAGACUUGAGUGCAGAAGAGGAGAGUGGAACUCCAUGUGUAGCGGUGAAAUGCGUAGAUAUAUGGAAGAACACCAGUGGCGAAAGCGGCUCUCUGGUCUGUAACUGACGCUGAGGUUCGAAAGCGUGGAUAGCAAACAGG
rnacentral:rRNA from 1 species